rnacentral:rRNA from 1 species
AUUGAACGCUGGCGGCAUGCCUUACACAUGCAAGUCGAACGGCAGCAUGAUCUAGCUUGCUAGAUUGAUGGCGAGUGGCGAACGGGUGAGUAAUACAUCGGAACGUGCCCUGUAGUGGGGGAUAACUAGUCGAAAGAUUAGCUAAUACCGCAUACGACCUGAGGGUGAAAGUGGGGGACCGCAAGGCCUCAUGCUAUAGGAGCGGCCGAUGUCUGAUUAGCUAGUUGGUGAGGUAAAGGCUCACCAAGGCGACGAUCAGUAGCUGGUCUGAGAGGACGAUCAGCCACACUGGGACUUGGACACGGCCCAGACUCCUACGGGAGGCAGCAGUGGGGAAUUUUGGACAAUGGGCGAAAGCCUGAUCCAGCAAUGCCGCGUGUGUGAAGAAGGCCUUCGGGUUGUAAAGCACUUUUGUCCGGAAAGAAAUGGCUCUGGUUAAUACCUGGGGUCGAUGACGGUACCGGAAGAAUAAGGACCGGCUAACUACGUG